UACGUAGGGUGCGGGCGUUGUCCGGAAUUAUUGGGCGUAAAGAGCUUGUAGGCGGUCUGUCGCGUCUGCUGUGAAAAUCCGGGGCUCAACCCCGGACUUGCAGUGGGUACGGGCAGACUAGAGUGUGGUAGGGGAGACUGGAAUUCCUGGUGUAGCGGUGAAAUGCGCAGAUAUCAGGAGGAACACCGGUGGCGAAGGCGGAUCUCUGGGCCAUUACUGACGCUGAGGAGCGAAAGCGUGGGGAGCGAACAGG
rnacentral:rRNA from 1 species